UUAAGCGACUAAGCGUACACGGUGGAUGCCCUGGCAGUCAGAGGCGAUGAAGGACGUGCUAAUCUGCGAAAAGCGCCGGCGAGGUGAUAUGAACCUUUGACCCGGCGAUGUCCGAAUGGGGAAACCCAGUGCAAUCCGUUGCACUAUCGUUAACUGAAUACAUAGGUUAACGAGGCGAACCGGGGGAACUGAAACAUCUAAGUACCCCGAGGAAAAGAAAUCAACCGAGAUUCCCCCAGUAGCGGCGAGCGAACGGGGAGCAGCCCGGAGUCUGAAUCAGCUUGUGUGUUAGUGGAACGGUCUGGAAAGUCCGACGGUACAGGGUGAUAGUCCCGUACACGAAAGCACACUUGCUGUGAACUCGAAGAGUAGGGCGGGACACGUGGUAUCCUGUCUGAAUAUGGGGGGACCAUCCUCCAAGGCUAAAUACUCCUGACUGACCGAUAGUGAACCAGUACCGUGAGGGAAAGGCGAAAAGAACCCCGGCGAGGGGAGUGAAAAAGAACCUGAAACCGUGUACGUACAAGCAGUGGGAGCCUCUUUAUGGGGUGACUGCGUACCUUUUGUAUAAUGGGUCAGCGACUUAUAUUCUGUAGCAAGGUUAACCGUAUAGGGGAGCCGAAGGGAAACCGAGUCUUAACUGGGCGUUAAGUUGCAGGGUAUAGACCCGAAACCCGGUGAUCUAGCCAUGGGCAGGUUGAAGGUUGGGUAACACUAACUGGAGGACCGAACCGACUAAUGUUGAAAAAUUAGCGGAUGACCUGUGGCUGGGGGUGAAAGGCCAAUCAAACCGGGAGAUAGCUGGUUCUCCCCGAAAGCUAUUUAGGUAGCGCCUCGUGAACUCAUCUUCGGGGGUAGAGCACUGUUUCGGCUAGGGGGCCAUCCCGGCUUACCAACCCGAUGCAAACUACGAAUACCGAAGAAUGUUAUCACGGGAGACACACGGCGGGUGCUAACGUCCGUCGUGAAGAGGGAAACAACCCAGACCGCCAGCUAAGGUCCCAAAGUCAUGGUUAAGUGGGAAACGAUGUGGGAAGGCACAGACAGCCAGGAUGUUGGCUUAGAAGCAGCCAUCAUUUAAAGAAAGCGUAAUAGCUCACUGGUCGAGUCGGCCUGCGCGGAAGAUGUAACGGGGCUAAACCAUGCACCGAAGCUGCGGCAGCGACACUAUGUGUUGUUGGGUAGGGGAGCGUUCUGUAAGCCGUUGAAGGUGUGCUGUGAGGCAUGCUGGAGGUAUCAGAAGUGCGAAUGCUGACAUAAGUAACGAUAAAGCGGGUGAAAAGCCCGCUCGCCGGAAGACCAAGGGUUCCUGUCCAACGUUAAUCGGGGCAGGGUGAGUCGACCCCUAAGGCGAGGCCGAAAGGCGUAGUCGAUGGGAAACAGGUUAAUAUUCCUGUACUUGGUGUUACUGCGAAGGGGGGACGGAGAAGGCUAUGUCAGCCGGGCGACGGUUGUCCCGGUUUAAGCAUGUAGGCGGAGGUUCCAGGUAAAUCCGGUACCUUAUUAACGCUGAGGUGUGAUGACGAGGCACUACGGUGCUGAAGUGAUAAAUGCCCUGCUUCCAGGAAAAGCCUCUAAGCAUCAGGUAACACGAAAUCGUACCCCAAACCGACACAGGUGGUCAGGUAGAGAAUACCAAGGCGCUUGAGAGAACUCGGGUGAAGGAACUAGGCAAAAUGGUGCCGUAACUUCGGGAGAAGGCACGCUGAUGUGUAGGUGAAGCCCCUGCGGGCGGAGCUGAAAUCAGUCGAAGAUACCAGCUGGCUGCAACUGUUUAUUAAAAACACAGCACUGUGCAAACACGAAAGUGGACGUAUACGGUGUGACGCCUGCCCGGUGCCGGAAGGUUAAUUGAUGGGGUUAGCGGCAACGCGAAGCUCUUGAUCGAAGCCCCGGUAAACGGCGGCCGUAACUAUAACGGUCCUAAGGUAGCGAAAUUCCUUGUCGGGUAAGUUCCGACCUGCACGAAUGGCGUAAUGAUGGCCAGGCUGUCUCCACCCGAGACUCAGUGAAAUUGAACUCGCUGUGAAGAUGCAGUGUACCCGCGGCAAGACGGAAAGACCCCGUGAACCUUUACUAUAGCUUGACACUGAACACUGGUCCUUGAUGUGUAGGAUAGGUGGGAGGCUUUGAAGCGUGGACGCCAGUCUGCGUGGAGCCAACCUUGAAAUACCACCCUUUAAUGGCUGGUGUUCUAACGUAGACCCGUAAUCCGGGUUGCGGACAGUGUCUGGUGGGUAGUUUGACUGGGGCGGUCUCCUCCCAAAGAGUAACGGAGGAGCACGAAGGUUGGCUAAUCCUGGUCGGACAUCAGGAGGUUAGUGCAAUGGCAUAAGCCAGCUUGACUGCGAGCGUGACGGCGCGAGCAGGUGCGAAAGCAGGUCAUAGUGAUCCGGUGGUUCUGAAUGGAAGGGCCAUCGCUCAACGGAUAAAAGGUACUCCGGGGAUAACAGGCUGAUACCGCCCAAGAGUUCAUAUCGACGGCGGUGUUUGGCACCUCGAUGUCGGCUCAUCACAUCCUGGGGCUGAAGUAGGUCCCAAGGGUAUGGCUGUUCGCCAUUUAAAGUGGUACGCGAGCUGGGUUUAGAACGUCGUGAGACAGUUCGGUCCCUAUCUGCCGUGGGCGCUGGAGAAUUGAGGGGGGCUGCUCCUAGUACGAGAGGACCGGAGUGGACGCAUCACUGGUGUUCGGGUUGUCAUGCCAAUGGCACUGCCCGGUAGCUAAAUGCGGAA
rnacentral:rRNA from 1 species